UGUCCAAACGCAAUUCUUGAGUCACGUCAAAACUCAACCGCAAGAAUUGUGUAUGGACAU
ensembl:miRNA gmo-mir-219-2 gmo-mir-219-2